GCGCUUAUUUGAUUAAUGACGUUACUUGGACUACUUUAAAUGAUUAUUCAGAGAUUUCAUAAUUCUUUUUCAAUAUUGGGUAAAAACCCUGCAUUUUGAACCAAUCAGACACUAGCGCGCGCAUUACGUGAAAUGCAAGUCACAUUCGUUUCACAGAAAAUUCGUCUUGGCAACAAGCCAAACAGACGACUCGAGAUGAAUGCUUGAACGGAACUCUUUCUUACUUGCUGCCCUUGCGGCGUGCAACACAGGGAUGGUUGAAACGGAAAAUGGAAAUACGGACCUUUCGACAAUCUGUAAGGGUUUUGAAAAUCAAGGAGGAGCUUUCUUUGGUUCAGUCCUCGGUGUUUUCCCGAAGAGUUUGUAUAGAAGGCGGCUUUAUUGGAGGUAAGACAACAGAAAAAAAAAAUGUUAAACAGGUUAUCAUAAACACAAAAAACUCAAAAACCGGGAAAUUGUGCUUCAAAUACAAGAACAUUAUAAGAAGUCAUCGAUUAAUUUUCCAGAGAGAUUACAGCAAAUGUAUAGGAAGUUUUUGAUUUUUUUGCCGGGAAAUGAAGGCUUAAAACCGGGAGUCUCCCGCAGAAAACCGGUGGGAGAGUUGGCAGCGAAAGGAAGUUGCAAGAAAAAUCAAAGAUACCCAAGUACGUUGGUGCAAACUUAGGCCAUGGUAUUCCUUAGUCUGUCACUCACCGUAAAGCGUCUUCUUCACAUCAAUGCUGAUGAUCUACUGCUACCUUAGGUAUUCUUUCCUUCAGCAAAAGGAUUUUGCCAGAUCAACCAAACGUUCAGUUGGUUGUUUAUGUCUAAGCCUUUAGGUAUUUCCUUGUAAUACGAAGUUGAUAUUUCUGGCCGUGUCUCUCAACUGAAGACCGUCUUCUCCACACCAACGUUGAUGAUCUGCUCGCCCUAAGUUUUCUCUCCUUCGUUGAACAAUUAAUUUUUAAAUCAUUUUCAUCUAGACCCUCCUGUUGCUUUGCUUAAUUUCCCGUUUGUGGGAAUGUGUGAUAAACUAGUCGAGCAAUAUCGACAGGAAAACAUACCUUGACCUUGUUCUCUUGGGUCAAGUCGCGUAAAUCAUUUUAAUUUCUUAGCAUUUAAUAGCUCGAUAUUUCUGAUACUGAAAUACAAUUUUAUACCUAACGAAAUAGAAUUCUGAAAAGUGAAACUUUAUUACAAGGAAAUUAAUGUCAACCGUGAAGGGCUAUAGAAACAGAAAGUGUCUAUUGUGCAGACUCGCCAUGUAUUAAGAUAAAAUGGUUUAUAAAGAGCUAAACGGUCUGUUAAGUCAAUAGAAUGUUUCCAAAACUUUGUAUCUUUAUUUUGUGUCAGGGUAUUAAUGCCAUGGCUAUUAUGUUCAUGUUGAGAAUAAUAAAUAUGAUGUGCUGGGUCCU